rnacentral:misc_RNA from 1 species
GAAAUGCGAUACCUAGUGUGAAUUGCAGAAUCCAGUGAAUCAUCGAACCUUCGAACGCACGUUGCGGCUCUGGGUAUUCCCAGAGCCACGCCUGCUUGAGUGCCAUUUAAACACCUCAUUCUCUGACUUCUUUUUUUGAUGUCAAAGAGUGGACUUGAGUUGUCGGAUCUUUUCAGUAAGGUUCGUCACUUGAAAUCUAGAGGUCAAUAACGCUUUAUCCUCUAAGUACAAGCGUGGUACGCCUUAUUGCAAGGCAAAUCUAUCCGCUUGUGCGUUAUAAAAGAAGAUCUAAGCUAAAGACCAAACCUUUAAACCUUUUUAAACCUUGGCCUCAAGUCAGACGAGACUACCCGCUGAACUUAA